rnacentral:rRNA from 1 species
UCGUGCGCGAACUGUAGCAAUACAGGGAGAGCGGCGAAAGGGAGAGUAAUACAUAGGUACCUACCCCCGGGCCUGGGAUAGCGGCGGGAAACUGCCGGUAAUACCAGAUAACGUCCCCGGACCAAAGAUGUGAUUUCACCUGGGGAGGGGCCUAUGGCCUAUCAGCUUGUUGGCAGGGUAACGGCCUACCAAGGCAAAGACGGGUAUGGGGCGUGAGAGCGUGCCCCCACUCACUGGGACUGAGACACUGCCCAGACACCUACGGGUGGCUGCAGUCGAGAAUCUUCGGCAAUGGGCGCAAGCCUGACCGAGCGACGCCGCGUGCGGGAUGAAGGCCUUCGGGUUGUAAACCGCUGUCGUAGGGGAGGAAGGGCCUGUGAAGAACAGGACUUGACCGAUCCUAGGAGGAAGGGCCGGCUAAUCUCGUGCCAGCAGCCGCGGUAAUACGAGAGGCCCAAACGUUAUUCGGAUUUACUGGGCUUAAAGAGUUCGUAGGCGGCGUGGAAAGUGGGGUGUGAAAGCCCUCGGCUUAACCGAGGAAUUGCGCUCCAAACUACCGCGCUUGAGGAAGAUAGAGGUGAGCAGAACUGAUGGUGGAGCGGUGAAAUGCGUUGAUAUCAUCAGGAAUACCGGAGGCGAAGGCGGCUCACUGGGUCUUUUCUGACGCUGAGGUGUGAAAGCGUGGGGAGCAAACAGG